rnacentral:lncRNA from 1 species
GCCAGGACCAGUCCUUCCGGAGGAGAGUGCCGGCUGGCUGGACCAUUCCCUUCCCACCUCCCAUCUUGCUGACUUCAAAACAGUGUCUCAGAAUCUCAAGAGUUCAAGGGGAUCCUAUGAGCAAGCAACUGUGGGGUAGAGAGCGGCCUUCCUCCAGAGCCCAGUGACCUCAGGCCCAGACAGAUGGCCUCAGCCCAGCCGCACCUGUGAACACCACAGAUGUAAGGAAGUGUCCAGCAGGGGCACAGUGGGCCCAUCUGACCUUCAAGGCCUGC